rnacentral:tRNA from 1 species
GGACGCUUAGCUCAGUUGGUUAGAGCGUCUCGUUUACACCGAGAAGGCCGGGGGUCCGAAUCCCUCAGCGUCCACAA